rnacentral:rRNA from 1 species
GCAUAUCAAUAAGCGGAGGAAAAGAAACCAACAGGGAUUGCCCCAGUAACGGCGAGUGAAGCGGCAAAAGCUCAAAUUUGAAAUCUGGCCUCCUACGGGGGUCCGAGUUGUAAUUUGUAGAGGAUGCUUCGGGUGUGGCCGCCGUCUAAGUUCCUUGGAACAGGACGUCAGAGAGGGUGAGAAUCCCGUCUUGGGCGGCCGGUCCGCGCCCGUGUGAAGCUCCUUCGAAGAGUCGAGUUGUUUGGGAAUGCAGCUCUAAGCGGGUGGUAAAUUUCAUCUAAAGCUAAAUACUGGUCGGAGACCGAUAGCGCACAAGUAGAGUGAUCGAAAGGUUAAAAGCACCUUGAAAAGGGAGUUAAACAGCACGUGAAAUUGUUGAAAGGGAAGCGCUUGCGGCCAGACUCGGGGGCGGGGUUCAGCGGGUGCUCGUCGCCCGUGCACUCCCCGUCUCCCGGGCCAGCAUCAGUUUCGACGGCCGGUCAAAGGCCUCCGGAAUGUGUCGUCUCUCGGGACGUCUUAUAGCCGGGGGUGCAAUGCGGCCCGUCGGGACUGAGGAACGCGCUUCGGCUCGGAUGCUGGCGUAAUGGCCGUAAGCGGCCCGUCUUGAACACGAAAAUUAAUU